GCGCCCGUGGCCCAGUGGAUAAGGCGUCGGCCUCCGGAGCCGAAGAUCGCACGUUCGAGUCGUGCCGGGCGCGCCA
rnacentral:tRNA from 3 species